rnacentral:rRNA from 1 species
CGCUGAGAACUGGUGCUUGCACCGGUUCAAAGAGUUGCGAACGGGUGAGUAACGCGUAGGUAACCUACCUCAUAGCGGGGGAUAACUAUUGGAAACGAUAGCUAAUACCGCAUAAGAGAGACUAACGCAUGUUAGUAAUUUAAAAGGGGCAAUUGCUCCCCUAUGAGAUGGACCUGCGUUGUAUUAGCUAGUUGGUGAGGUAAAGGCUCACCAAGGCGACGAUACAUAGCCGACCUGAGAGGGUGAUCGGCCACACUGGGACUGAGACUCGGCCCAGACUCCUACGGGAGGCAGCAGUAGGGAAUCUUCGGCAAUGGGGGCAAACCUGACCGAGCAACGCCGCGUGAGUGAAGAAGGUUUUCGGAUCGUAAAGCUCUGUUGUUAGAGAAGAAUGAUGGUGGGAGUGGAAAAUCCACCAAGUGACGGUAACUAACCAGAAAGGGACGGCUAACUACGUGCCAGCAGCCGCGGUAAUACGUAGGUCCCGAGCGUUGUCCGGAUUUAUUGGGCGUAAAGCGAGCGCAGGCGGUUUUUUAAGUCUGAAGUUAAAGGCAUUGGCUCAACCAAUGUACGCUUUGGAAACUGGAGAACUUGAGUGCAGAAGGGGAGAGUGGAAUUCCAUGUGUAGCGGUGAAAUGCGUAGAUAUAUGGAGGAACACCGGUGGCGAAAGCGGCUCUCUGGUCUGUAAC